CGGCAAGGCCUUGGGACAAAAAGCGCGUCUCGCUUUCGCACAUGCGCAAUCCGCAUAGAUGGUGCACUAGCAAGCGUGGACUUGAGCAUGCGCAGACGUCUGCGCGUGUGGCGGGCUCCUGAGACGGGCUUAAAGGAAGAGUUUGCCUUUGUGCAGAGGGGCCGAGAAAAGUACAGGGAAGCUAUGUGAACUUCUCUGCAGAAAAACUUUCGGAUCUUAUGUGUUCCAACUCCGCUGAAUGUUUUCCUGGAGACUCCACUGAGACAUGGUCUGCACUGUCCAUCACUGUGGCCCCCAGCCUUUGACCAGAUGUGGUACACGCAGAGGACCCUUGUGCCUUGCUGCUUGUGGCCUGUCAAGUCUGUGCCAUCGUCAGCGCAUACCUUUUCCUGGAACUAUUGAGGAAAGGAUAUGUUUUCUCGUACUGAGUUUGCUGAGAAGACAAAAUGUUGGCAGCUAUCCUGUCACCACUGGAGAUCAGCCUGUCUGAGAAUGGAGCCACAACAGAGGAAAGCAGGCAAGAUACAAGACAUGCAAACCAAUCCUUUAACAUUUGAGCUCCUGGAUCCAGCCAUGCCUGAGGUCAGUAUGUCCUAGACUUUUCAGUUACGUGAACCAAUCAAUUCUCUUUUUUUAUUUUGUUUUAUUUUGUUUUUAAUUUAAAUCCAAGUUAGUUAACAGACAGUGUAAUAAUGAUUUCAGGAAUAGAAUUUAGUGAUUCCUCACUUACAUAUGACACCUAGUGCUCAUCCCAACAAUUGCCCUUCUCAAUGCCCCUUGCCCAUUUAGCCCAUCCCCCCGCCCAACACCCCUCCAGCCACCCUCAGUUUGUCUUUUGUAUUUAAGAGUCUCUUACAAUCAAGUCUCUCUUUAGGGCCAAGAAGUUAAGUUGAAUUUCUGAUAUUGCAACCAAAGAGUCUCAAUACACCCAUAUAUUUUCCCCCUUUUAAAGUUCCAGUGC